UGAAAACACAUCAAGAAUUUGGUGGUUUAGUUGCUAAGUUGUGUCCAACUCUUGUGACCUCAUGGACUGUAGCCCACCAGGCUCCUCCGUCCGUGGGAUUCUCCAAGCAGGAAUACUGCAGCGGGUUGCCAUUCCCUUCUCCAGGGGAUCUUCCCGACCCAGGGAUCAAACCCAGGUCUCCUGCAUUGCAGGUGGAUUCUUUACCACUGAGCCACCAGGAAGCCCACAUCAGGAACAAUGGCUAAAUCUGUGUGAUAGAAGUAUGGAUACUUAUUCUUUUCUUUGUUUUUAUCUUUACAGAUGUUAAUUUCCCCAAAUUAAAAGUCUUUAAGAAAGAAUUGCAGUCAGCUUGUCAGCUGGUGACAGGAACUUGUCUCCUCUAGAACCUGAUGAAAUAACAAAAGGAAAGAUUUUAAGGAAAAAGGGACAGGAAUGAUAUUCACCAAACAGACGUACUUUGGGGGAGUGUUCAUCCCCAUCGCCUACAAGGUUGUGGGGAUGCCCCGCCUCUGGAUCCAGGGACCACAGUGAGGACACCCUCCUCUCCUCCUCAGGUGGCGGACCCCGCCCGGGCCCCGAUCCAGGGAGCACAGUGAGGAGGUCCUCCUCAGGUGGAGGACCCCGCCUGGGCCCUGAUCCAGGGAGCACAGUGAGGAGAUCCUCCUCAGGUGGCGGACCCCGCCUGGGUCCCGAUCCAGGGAGCACAGUGAGGAGGCCCUCCUCAGGUGGCGGACCCCGCCUGGGUCCCGAUCCAGGGAGCACAGUGAGGAGGCCCUCCUCUCCUCCUCAGGUGGCAGACCCCGCCCGGGCCCCGAUCCAGGGAGCACAGUGAGGAGGUCCUCCUCUCCUCAGGUGGUGGACCCCGCCUGGGCCCCUAACUGGCUUUGGCUUUUCAGGCUCUGCUGCGCAGUCCUUGAGUCUUGAGCACCGCAGAGAUGGCAGGACUUUAGAAACAAGGUCACAGCGGUAUCAACAGCAUCUAAGUAAGUGGAUGGGACUCUGGUAGCUAAUUAUUGUCUGUGACCUUAUGGACAGAAGUGCCCAGUGAGGGGAAGACAUUGAGAAACUGCAGGAGACGGGGGUUCCAUCCCUGGAUCAAGAAGACCCUCUAGAGGAGGCAGUGGCUCCCUACUCAAGUCCUCUUGCCUGGAGAAUCCCACAGACAGGAGCCCGCGGGGCUACAGUCCAUGGGGUCACAGAGUCGGACACGACAGCAUCUAAACAACGAUAGUACUAAACAGAGUGAAGGCGUAAGAGCUUUGAAGGCUGCUAACUGGAGACCGGGGCCUCCAUGGCUGUGCUGAGAGACAGCCGCAGCCACAGUACUGAAGUUAUCAAAAGCAAAAGCCAGCAUUUGAUCCUGCAGGCUGCCAAAUGAUAUGCUGGAAUACACAAAUGUCAUCAAGAUUUUUUAUGUGACGGUAAGGAAAUUGACUCGAUGGACGUGAGUCUGAGUGAACUCUGGGAGUUGGUGACAGACAGGGAGGCCUGGUGUGCUGCGAUUCACAGGGUCGCAGAGUCGGACACAACUGAGCGACUGAACUGAACUGAACUGAAGGAAAUUUAGUCGAGUUGGAGCCAUACUAUUGAAAUACUUAGAUUUGUGAGGCUUUGGAAGAUCCUGAGUAUCAGGCAACAUGUGGAGGGCUGUGUGGGAAUGGAUGAUGUUGGUGUAGCUAAUUACUGAAUUUAUCAGUAUGGGUUCAGUUAACACAUUCAGGAUUUAGAAUUUUGGUUUGAGCAGCUGAGAGUGAUUUCAGUUGUUUGCUAGCCUCGUUGAAGAAACUGAACUUGACCGUCAACUGCUCUGAACUCCAGUAAGGUGAUCCCUGAGUUGGGAAGAUCCCCUGAAGAAGGGAAAGGCUACCCACUCCAGUAUCACAACUGAGCAACUUUCAAAAAAAAAAUGUUGUAAAAGAAAAAAUCCCAUAUCUAGGAGACAGGAGUGCUGGAGUAGAUUCAUCAUGUGAGAGCCACUCAUAAAACCACAUGUUCCUGGAAGAGACCCAGAACCCAGCCCCUUAAGAGGGCCACUGACAGGUGAGAGGCGUGCAUUCCAGAGUGUUUGCAGGGCCUUCACUUUCAUCGGGGCUGGAGCAGUCUCGGUUGCAGAAGUCAAGUAGUAGCAGUUAGCACAAGCCGGGGGGACUUGGUCACCACAUUAAGCAGAAGGGCUGGAGUGAUAAUCAGGCUGGACUUUCCUGCAGAGAUCGUGACCAGUGAUUCGGUGAUGGCAGGGUCCUUAAGACCAUCACUAAGGUGCUGCAGCAAUAGUAUGAACAAACAGCUCCUAGCCUGGUGAGCAGAGGUCUGGCCGUCGCAAUUUCCAGACCUGAAUCAGGUCAUAGAAUCUGUGCCACUUGAAAGAAGUGGAGACUGUGUCUUCUGAGUCUUCUGCCAGAACAUAUCAGGUUCAGUGGGAGCUUUGCCUUCAGCCUUCCCCAAAGAGUGUGGGGCUGCUUCAGGCUGCUGUGAAAUAAAGAAGGAAUCCUCGGGUUAUUG
ensembl:lncRNA